ensembl:lncRNA
CAUUUUUUAAGUGAGAAGAGAACAAAUUCUUUUCUUCUCAGGCCUAAAGCCCUCCCUCUUGUCUUGCUUUCCAUUUCUCCAUAACAUAAUCUUUAUUGCUUAUGUGGUGGAGAAGACUUGCCACCACCAGGCAAUGUGGAAUUAAAGGGGUACAUUCUGUAUGUAGUAUAUUGAGAGGAAAAUGUGAACUGGACCAAAGGUGUCCUUACCGGACUACUUCUGCCUGGCUCCCCACUUACUGCACGUGGCAUGUUCAAACACCUCCUGCUCCUGCAGCAGGUAGCUCUGUACUCCUGCUCAAACUGGCUGUAGAACAUCUAGCCAAAGUUUGGCUGUUGCCUUGUUUUUUCCCCUUUGACUUCUCGCAAUAACAAUGACAAAUACAGGGUUAUGAGGCUUUAAUGUUCUGGUUUUUAAUUACUCUUGAGAUGCGUCAUUUUGCUUCAUGUGCAAGCUAAACAGAGCACUAACUUCUGUGAGCUGUGCAAACCAGACUCGCUCCCUGGAGUGCUUUCUUGGGAACUUCCAGGAUGGUUUGUUUGGGUAGUUCGGCAAAAUAAUAUCUGUCAAGUCAUGACGUACUAAACCCUUCAAACCCUAGAGAGAUGUCUUUUAAGGAUCAUAGGAAAUAGAUGGAGAGAACAGGAAAUCAGGUUCCAAAUAAUCAUCUUCAAAAGCUAGGAGGUCAGUAGCUCUGGUCAGGCUUUUCCCCUAAGGAUGGGAUGACAGUGCUAAUCCAAUAGUCACCCGUGGCAUGCUGCUGUGAAGCACCUCUCCUUUCCAGCCACCUUCCCUGUGCUGUAACUGUGCUUUGAGUCUACUUUUCCCAGAAAGCUAAAAAGCUUGGGAUCUGUCUGAACAGCUUUCUUGUCUUGAGGCUUCCUUUGUAAAAGCUUUAUCUGUGUUAGAUUCUCUUUCAGUAACUGUUCUGACUAUAGACCACCACCGAUAGCCGCUGCAGAGCCCUUGUUCCGUCCUGCCCCUUCCGUGUUACGUGGCUGCUUAGUGUUGGUGGCUCAUCUGUGGUGGCUGCUGCUGCUCCUGGAACUGAGGGAGCGCUGCAGGCUGCAGCAGCAAGAAUUAAGCUUACAAACAAGGGUAAAAAUCUAAUAUACAGAGCUGAAAGCUGCUCUAUGCAACUCCCUAAUGUCAGGCUAGCUGCAGUCAGCAUCCGUGUGCGGGAGGCUGGUGCAGAGGAUGGGGCACAGAUCUCCAGGGCAGAGAUUCUACAUUCCUGAGGUGGCUCUUGUGCAUUUUUACUAUCUUCGACUUUUAGAGCAAUACCGUUUCUGUGACCAAAUGUAUUGCAAGUGCUUGGAAGAUCUUAAUGUCCACAAAUAGAGCAGGGGAGGAACACAUCAGACAUGUGUCUGCUUUAUAUUUAGGAGUGAAAUUAAGUCACUUUUUUUCCCCUCUCCAAACCAUAACUGUGUCACGAGAGGAGAUUUAGUUCGAUUUCUGAAUUUGACAGAUCUUUUGAGGGAUUAAGAAGUGUCUCUGGAUUCCUAUUGACUUACUAACGUGCCAGCUGCCUGGAUGCAUGCAUAGAUGUUUUCCUCUUAGAGAUCCUGGUUUCAUUCCCAUUGAGAGCAGACUUGGGUGCAACUUGCUGGCCUGAAGGAGCCCCCUGAGCCGCACAGCUCUUCCUUUGAGAGUAAAAGCCUGGUGUGAGUAUCUGCUGCGUUGACUCUGCAGACUUCUUCUGGCACGUGUUUUAUUACCACUUCUUGGUUCCAAGUGACACUUCGUGAGCAGGAUUCCACCUCACGCAGGCUAAAAAGUACAAAUUGCUUCUGCCCUGGCCAAGGCUCGGUGCGAAGGACAAGGGGAAUGCAGGUGGGAGAGGGAGGGAAAGUUGUGGAAGGGGAGAAGAGGGUCUGUGCCCCGGGCAGCCGCCUGCAGGGGCAGGAGGAGCAGUUUGCCACUGAGAAUCAGAUUAUUUAUUACCAAAAGUAAUUUUAUAGUGAACUGGUUGAAAGUUAUUUUACAGCUGUGUGCCUGUAUAUCGUAUUUUGGUAAAAACAGAUAUUUUACUUAAAACUAUAUAGAUAUAUAUAUAUAUAAAAAUAAACUUUUUUUUUUUU